rnacentral:rRNA from 1 species
GACGAACGCUGGCGGCGUGCUUAACACAUGCAAGUCGAACGGAAAGGCCCCUUUGGGGGUACUCGAGUGGCGAACGGGUGCGUAACACGUGAGUAACCUGCCCUUGACUUCGGGAUAACUUCAGGAAACUGGGGCUAAUACCGGAUAGGAAUCCUUGCUGCAUGGUGGGGGUUGGAAAGCUUCGGCGGUUUUGGAUGGACUCGCGGCUUAUCAGCUUGUUGGUGGGGUAGUGGCUUACCAGGGCUUUGACGGGUAGCCGGCCUGAGAGGGCGACCGGCCACAUUGGGACUGAGAUACGGCCCAGACUCCUACGGGAGGCAGCAGUGGGGAAUAUUGCACAAUGGGCGGAAGCCGGAUGCAGCAACGCCGCGUGCGGGAUGACGGCCUUCGGGUUGUAAACCGCUUUCAGCAGGGGCGAAGCUUGUGGUGACGGUACCUGCAGAAGAAGCACCGGCUAACUACGUG